ensembl:lncRNA
UCGUCUCAGACGAUUCUGAGAUUACUGCAGUUGCAGAUGAAAUAGAGCCUACAGCUGAUGCUGAAACUGAGACUGCUGCACCUGAGCCAGUCGACUCAAAUGAUUUAGAAAUGUCUGAAAUCUCUGAUACUUUAGACAAACCUGAAGAACAAAGAACUCCUGACGUUAACACAGUUGGGUCUGACACUGAUGCCAAUGAUUCAGACAUAUCCGAGGAUGAUGAUGAUUUUGAGAAUUAUUUUGAAGAUCUAAUAACCGCUGACAUUUCUGUUCCUAAGCCUGUCGGGAAUGAGUCUAACAUCAGUGAGGCUGGAGAUGAAAUUCCUGAUGAUCAUGAAGAACCUAUUGCACUUCAAUUAACUCUGAUUGAGCUUGUGGACAAAGACUCUGAUUCUGAUGAUGAUGAGGAUUAUGAUCAUGACACUGGGAUCACUGUGGAUGAUUCUGAAGAACAGCUCACACUUGAUAUUGCUCUAUUUGAACCAGACGAGAGUGAUUCAGGCUUACCUGACGAAGAUCAAGACACUCUGGACAACAUCGCAGGACAGACAAAAGAAUCUAGCAUCAAUCUAACUGAAUCAGGAAAGUCUGAUGAUUCCGACAUCAUAACUGAGGCUGGUGUUUUUCCAGCUGAGGAUCUCUCUGUUUUGGACGACGCUGACGAUGAUGCGAACAACAACAACAACGAAAUCAAGAGGGCCAGAAGCAAGCAGCUGAGACGCAACAGGCUUCACUAUGGCAUUGAGGAAGAAACAAGCCAAGGCUUGAAAAAAGUUCUUGAACAAGAGAAGGUAUCCAAGCAGCAGAAGACCAGAGAAGAAGUAUACAAAAUCAUUCAAGACCUAAAAGCCACAAAAGCUGAAAAAGAGGCAGUAAAGUUCAAACUUGAAGCCAGAAAGGAAGAGGAGGAAGAGGAGAAGAAGGAUAAAGGUAAGGCCAGAACAUAAGUGAAAAAUGGAGACCCAGUACACACAGUACCCUGUGGUGGAAAUAAUUUAAACUUACAAAUGUAACCCAUUACUUUGUAUAUUAUACUGCUCAUCAACAAGCUUCCAUCUUCCACCAACAAAAUCCAGCUGCUUGCUAAAAUGCAUAGAACAGCAAUAAUGUCACUGUUUGCUUGCUAUGUGCCCUUUAAGCACACUAGCCUCUGUCCUAAAUAACUAAAACAAUUACAAUUAGCAGCAUCACCAGACAGGAGGAAAAACAUUGAGUAUAAUUUACAUUCAUAUAGAUUGAUCACUCACACACUUACAGUAUACAUCCCAGCCAUUUAGUACAAUCACAUUGAGCAGUCAUCAACUACAUUUCAUGCACUCUCAUAUCAAAGUUGACAUCUCCGAUGCAAUGACUACUAUUAAACAUUGGAUUUCCUUAACAUAACUGGCACUGACAUAUUUAAAUCUGAGUGUAACAAACUGCUUAUCUCUUGAUUUGCAUGGGAAACUAAAAACAUGAAGUUGACCAUGUUUAGUAACAUAUAGGCCUCAUCUUAGACGCAUAAGCAUUAUUUUGUUAAUUAAGCUAACAAGAGUAAAGAUUAACACGAUGUGAUCAAACUGAAAGCUUGAAAAGGGCAUUCAAGAUUUUGACAGAUGACAAAAAAAGGUAUUUGAGUAAACUAGAUCAGUAACUAUCAAUAUGACCAGCAGUAACAUUCAUAAAUGAAAAAUUCAUAAACAACCUCCAGCCUACAUAUCUACAUAAAAUCAUACAAAGGGCCACUACUUGGUGAUACUUUUUGGAUAUUCUACUACAACACCAAGCUUUUGAUAUCUUGAGAAGUAAAUCCUAGACUAAGAUCAAAAAGAUGGCAAAAAUAUUGCUAGCAUGAUGUUGAAGCUAAAAAACAACAAGAAAUAAUAAAAAGCUUACAAUACUGAUCA